rnacentral:tRNA from 1 species
GUCAGAAUGGCCGAGCGGUCUAUGGGGCUGCGUUCAGGUCGCAGUCCAGUACUCUGGGCGAGGGUUCGAAUCCCUCUUCUGACA